rnacentral:tRNA from 1 species
CUCGGCCUCGGCCUGCGGGUAUGGCGUGCCGCUCGCGUCGGCGGGGCCGGCAGGCUGGUCCCCGGGCCUGAGGGUCGCGUCGUCCGGCCCGGG